ensembl:lncRNA
GCUUUUGGAGAUUUGAUAUCGAGAAUUGCAGAAGAAUCUUCAAAGAGGAGGUGAGAAGAGUAAGAAAGAUCCGAAGUAAGAGACCUUGAUUGGAAAGGCUUGAAAAGCAGUUUUCUGUUUCUCCUGAGACCAGCUGAAGAGAGGAAUCUUUUGAAUCUGGCUGCUGGCAGCUUGAGUAAAGAAGUUUGAAGACAGACCACCUCUGGACCUGUUUGGACACUAAUCAACUGAUGAUCCUGGCCCUUUUGAUUGGACUUCAUGUGUGAGACUUGGUUAUUGAAGAAAUUUACUGCUUAGCUUAAUAAGAUAGUUUUAGAUAGAUUUAUAGACAUUAGAGAGUAAGAUAACUUGUAGAAUUUCUCCUAACUCCUCUUCCUUCCUCCCCUUCCCAACCAAUAAAUCU